AAUCAACGCUGGCGGCGUGCCUAACACAUGCAAGUCGCACGAGAAAACGGUAGCAAUAUCGUGAGUAAAGUGGCGCACGGGUGAGUAACACGUGACUAACCUACCCUAGAGUGGGGGAUAACCUCGGGAAACCGGGGCUAAUACCGCAUAAUAUCCUCGACCGCAAGGUUGAUGAUCAAAGGAGUAAUCCGCUUUUGGAGGGGGUCGCGGCUGAUUAGCUAGUUGGUGAGGUAAUGGCUCACCAAGGCAGUGAUCAGUAUCCGGCCUGAGAGGGCGCACGGACACACUGGAACUGAAACACGGUCCAGACUCCUACGGGAGGCAGCAGUGGGGAAUUUUGCACAAUGGGGGAAACCCUGAUGCAGCAACGCCGCGUGGAGGAUGAAGGUCUUUGGAUUGUAAACUCCUUUCGAUCGGGACGAUUAUGACGGUACCGGAAGAAGAAGCACCGGCUAACUCUGUGCCAGCAGCCGCGGUAAUACAGAGGGUGCAAGCGUUGUUCGGAAUUAUUGGGCGUAAAGGGCGCGUAGGCGGUGCGGUAAGUCUUUUGUGAAAUCUCCGGGCUCAACUCGGAGUCUGCAAGGGAAACUGCCGUGCUUGAGUGUGGGAGAGGUGAGUGGAAUUCCCGGUGUAGCGGUGAAAUGCGUAGAUAUCGGGAGGAACACCUGUGGCGAAAGCGGCUCACUGGACCACAACUGACGCUGAGGCGCGAAAGCUAGGGGAGCAAACAGGAUUAGAUACCCUGGUAGUCCUAGCCCUAAACGAUGAUUGCUUGGUGUAGCAGGUACCCAAUCCUGCUGUGCCGAAGCUAACGCGAUAAGCAAUCCGCCUGGGGAGUACGGUCGCAAGGCUG
rnacentral:rRNA from 1 species